rnacentral:lncRNA from 11 species
UUUAUUCAAAAUUUUUAAUUAUCUAUCUUUCAAAUUUAAAAAAUAUCAUUGUGCGAGGAUAAGGUAGGGAUCUUAUCAAAAUGAUAUAAUACGAAAAAAGCCGUUAUUUCUUCCAUCUCUUUCUUCGAGUUUCACUACUAUUACUACUUUCUUCCACUCUCUUCCAACGGUUAGAGCUUGCUCGACAAAUCUUUCGUCGUGUUGGAUAGUAUAAACGGACCCUUACGCGUUGACCAGACGCAUUGACCAGACGCGCAUAUAUCUAUACGUACAUAGAGCGCAAGUGCGUGUGUCACAUCUUGACACACAGAAGAAUUCUGUAUACACGCCGGCGCUUCCUGCAGUAAAGUUAACGACCUCGAUUGCAUAUAAAUGCCUGGCUUAAUGGUUUCGAAGUAAGGCCGAAGGCCUCAGCUGAUAAAAUCCACUCUCUCCUAGCGGGGUUUACUACUACGCCCAUUUAAGCUCAUUUCACACGGAAUCUUUCUGUCGGCUUCUAUCUAUGACAUAGUGAUAUUUGUUAUUGCGUAAUCACUCACAACGUAAUAAAUUACUAGUUAUUGGAGAUAGACACUGUUCGCUCACAAAAGAAGAUGGCAAACAGAAAAAUAUGGCUACUGUUCCCCCACCUACUUGCAUCUAUAUUUUGCGUCGCACGUAAUUGGUCGAAUCAUAUGACGAAGAGAACGAAUGAAUAUAUUGAGUGCGGUUAGAACAAAUGCAAUGAUAGAUAUAUUUCAAACAUUUAUCUUACAAAAAGAGUGUUAAUUAUCGAGAAAAUAUAUUGUUAUUACAAUUUACAAGAAUCUUAUUACUAUAUCAACACAGUUAGUAUUCGCAAUGCACCGAGGCGAAAAUCUCCUGUUUUCUUUCUGCCAUUUCACUUGCUAUCCUCUCGUGGAUGAACGAUACUAUUAUAUGCCAUUCGAUAUUGUGUUAAGUAACACAUUUAAAUGUGUGACAGAUAAUUCGAGUUAAAGUUAAGUUCGAUAAGUUUCGAUUAGAAGAGAAUGGAUAAAAUUUCAAUUUUUUAAUUGUUUUCACAGAGUAUACAUUGGGAAGAAAGAAACGAAUAGUUACGUAGAAAAGAGGGUUAUGAUGACGCAGGCGCUAUUAUAUUGAAAGCACGCAGUCAAUAUACGCGUUAUAUUUUGUACGUGGAAUCGACCCGUAUUUUGGCUUUUAGUCAUCGUCACACAUUCACAAGUCGACUCAUUCUAUGACACACGCAUGGAAUAAUGCUACGUAUACGUGUUCAACAUUCGUGCAGAGAAGAAAAAAGACCACUUAGAAUGUAAUAUAAUCGCUUUCAAACUUGAUCAAACUUUACAAAACUUGAAUGACUGGUAAAUUAUGUGGAGGCAAUUUGAACUUUUAAAAUCAAUUUUGUUUCCUGAAUUGAAUUCUUAUCCUGUUGAAUGAUUAUCUAGUUUUUUCAUUUUAAAUUUAUUUUAAUAUUUUUUUUUAAUAUUUCUAAAAAAUAGUUUUUUUGUACAUUAAUCAAUAUAUGAAAAA